rnacentral:rRNA from 1 species
GAUGAACGCUAGCUACAGGCUUAACACAUGCAAGUCGAGGGGAAACGACAUCGAAAGCUUGCUUUUGAUGGGCGUCGACCGGCGCACGGGUGAGUAACGCGUAUCCAACCUGCCCAUCACUUGGGAAUAACCUUGCGAAAGUAAGACUAAUACCCAAUGAUAUCCCACGAAGGCAUCGGAAUGGGAUUAAAGAUUUAUCGGUGAUGGAUGGGGAUGCGUCUGAUUAGCUUGUUGGCGGGGUAACGGCCCACCAAGGCAACGAUCAGUAGGGGUUCUGAGAGGAAGGUCCCCCACAUUGGAACUGAGACACGGUCCAAACUCCUACGGGAGGCAGCAGUGAGGAAUAUUGGCCAAUGGGCGAGAGCCUGAACCAGCCAAGUAGCGUGCAGGAAGACGGCCCUAUGGGUUGUAAACUGCUUUUAUAAGGGAAUAAAGUGGGUCACGUGUGACUUUUUGCAUGUACCUUAUGAAUAAGGACCGGCUAAUUCCGUG